rnacentral:rRNA from 1 species
UACGAAGGGGGCUAGCGUUGCUCGGAAUCACUGGGGGUAAAGCGCGUGUAGGUGGCCAAGUAGGUCCGCUGUGAAAACUUGAGGCUCAACCUCAAGCUGUCGGUGGAAACCACUUGGCUAGAGUCCGGAAGAGGAGAGUGGAAUUCCUGGUGUAGCGGUGAAAUGCGCAGAUAUCAGGAAGAACACCAAUGGCGAAGGCAGCUCUCUGGGACGGUACUGACACUGAGACGCGAAAGCGUUGUGAGCGAACAGG